rnacentral:misc_RNA from 1 species
UUUCCGUAGGUGAACCUGCGGAAGGAUCAUUAUCGUGCAAAAACAAUAAUAAUUGUGAAAAAAUAUGUGUGAUUAUAUUCGUAAAAAAAUAUAUUCUCAUGUAUUUUCUCUCUACCGUGGACCCUUUAAUUUUCUUUAUUCACGUUGACUGAAAGCAUUUAUUUGUUUUCUUUCGAUUUGGAAAAAGAGAAAAACAACUUUUCUUUUCAGCAAUGAAAGGCAAAAGAACAAACCAAAAUGUGAAUAAACAAAACCCAUUCGUUAUUCGAAAGGAUUUUUUUUAUAUUUGAUUUUCUUCUUUUGGAAAAUAUUUCGGUCCUGUCUUCCUCUUCGUCACUGAAGUUGAUAAAGGAAAGGCUUAUUUUUGAAAGAGUCGAUGAUCAAAUAUUUUGAAAGAAAAUUCAUGUUAAAUCAAAAUUUAAUAUGACACAACUUUCAACGGUGGAUCUCUUGGCUCGU